AGCUUGUUCACGAGCUUGUGAACGCAAACGAGCCGAACACCACUAUGUUCAUGUUCGGCUCGUUUAUAUUAACGAACAUAAAAUCAAGCUCGAACUCGCUUCGUUUAAAACACGAACGAACAUGAACCGAGCUCUUAUCGAGCCGAACACCGAGCUGCUCGCGAACGGCUCGGUUCGUUUACACCCCUUAGUGCUGUAGUCUAAAUUUACCAAGACAGUAAUACUAAUCGAAUAUUUUGGAAGCCCGUCGGUAAUGUGUAGUCCAGUUUGCUCGUUGGCGCAAUUCUUUCGGUAGAUACCUAUACUUUGCCCAAAUUUGUGGAACUUCCAACUCCACUAACCAUGGAAUAAUAAGCAGAAAAUAAAUUCCCCUAUCAGUAUCUAACUCUCAUAAAGCAUCCGCAUCCUGGAGGAGGCAUAAGCCCAAAAAAAACAUAACGAAGAACACUACGAUCAGAAGAAACACCAUGCAGGUCGUGAUUUAGCCAAGGGAUAAGGCUGGUUGGAGGAGAGUCAUGCCAGGAGAUCCCCUGAACGUCAUCGGGCAGCAGAGCAGCCAGAUGGUCAGCCGCUGUAUUAGCCUCUCUAUAGACAUGAGAUAUAAUAACCUCCCAAUCUUGCUUCAGAAGACCCUGAAUGGCUGCUAACAGGUAUGGAGAAAGAAAAGAACUCACUGGCAAAGGAGCAAACUGGAAAUUAUUGACAAUUACUGCCACUUUCUUCCCUGGAGUUGCCGUCAUGAUUUUGUCAAUCUCUGCCACGACAUCGUUUGGCAUAUUUGUGAGAGUGAGUUCCUUCAAGUUGGUGAGUUUCUGCAAGCCUGUAGUGAUCUUCAUAUUCUCACAGCGUCUAAUCUCCAAUUCCUUAAGCAAAGGCAUAGAACCUUGUUCAACACUCCAAUUCUCAAGUUUCUCAAGCGUCCACAGUUUCAAAACUCGAAGUUCUGGAAACCCUUUUGCAUGACAAGUCAUCUCUUUCCCCAAGUAAGAACGACCAAAAAGUCUCAGAAUUUUCAGUCGUGGCAGUUCUCCUAAGUACUUCAUCGGAUCGUUCUCUAGCUGUGACACCGAUAAAGUAACCAUCUUGAGGCUUAAUGGAAGCUGCAACUCAUCGACAGGAUGUGAAACUUUUCCUAACAAAUACAAUUCUGAUAGAACGCUGUGCUUCUUCAUGGAACACAAUUUUAAAUCUGCAGGUCGACUAAAUUCGUCGAUGGAUCUUAACUUGAGAGCUCGAAGAUUCGUUGACUCAGAAAUCCAGUUAGUUACCUGGUCAAGUGAUUCAAAAUGGCAUGUGAGUCCGAGUUUCGUCAGACGAAUCAGCCUCUUGAACCAAUCUUCGCCGAGGCCUUUUUUUCCAAUUACUAAUCCCCAUAGUGUCAGAAGAUUUGCCAGAGAUCUGCCGGCUAACGGCUUCUGCAGAGACACAUCUAAAUAAAUCUCAUUCAUAUAAAGAUGUCUGAGCUUCUUUGAGCUCCAAAUGGAUAUUGGCAAGGAAGUGAUAUUUGUGUGCUUCACAUCUAGAGUUUCUAAGUUAGGCAAGUCACCUACAGAAUUUGGGAUUGAAUCAAGAAAUGUCCAUCUUAACCCUAGGUAACUUAGGUGGAUCAGCUUCCCAAUAGUCUCUGAUAAGACUGGUUUGUACACAUUUUCUAGAUCAAGCACAGUGAGCAAUCCAAACCCUCGUUUUCCUGUGA